rnacentral:lncRNA from 1 species
CUAAAACAAUGAUCAAUAUCGACCGUAUGACAUAAAAUUUUCUACAAUCAUACAUGUUGAAAGCAUAUAUAUACAAGGUGAAGGAAUAUAUAUAUAUAUAUAUAUAUAUGCAAAAUCAAAUUGAUAAAUAACUAUUGAAAUAAUUUCAUGAUGUACAUAAAAUAGAGGGAAAUAAAGAGCAUACAUAGUAUAAAAUUGUUAUCCUUGAUCGUUUAGCACAAGUAAAAUAGAAAAAGAAAAGCUUAUUUGGUAAAUAUAAGUUUUUUUUUAUCAAAUAAACAGCUAAUAUGCUACAACGAGUCUACUAUGAGUUGAAUUCACGACAUCUCACUUAUAAGGAGAGACAGUACUGGACUGGUAAAUAUAAGUUUUUGAAACCCAAUACUUUGUGUAAUUUGAUUUUUAAGAGAAAAAUUGACGUCAUUGAAAUUUUUUUAUUACAAAUUGGUCAAAUAAUAGAGGUUGGGUGACAUUCUAUGAGAAAUAAAAAAAUUAAUCAAGGAAUUGAGGUCGAGAAAUUUUAUUAACACAUCCCUAAUUACUAGAUACACAUACCAUACUUAAUACAUCACCUAUUAACUUUAUUGUUUUAACAUUUUAUUAGAUACACAUACCAAAAUUUCCUACAAUACCCUCAUUUAAAAUACACAACUUAUUCACUAAAUAUACAACUCAUUCACUAAAUAUACAUAUUUUCUAGAUUUGCUACUCAAUUUAUUAACAGAAAAUUCACAUUAAUAAGAUCUCUUGCGUCACGAGGGCACCGAUUUUGCUUGAGAUCUCUCUCAUUGAGUUAGAAGAGUAUAUAUAUAAUUAUAUAUAGCACUAUCCCAAGUUCUAGUUUGGUGUUCAAACGUAAAUGUUUGUGAACGACCUAGCAUGUGUGAACAGUAAAAAAUAAAUUUUCCAACUUCACUUUGAACUAUCUAAUCAAACAACAAACCCUAAAAUCUAAAUUUUGUAGUAGAUCAAUUUUAAUCAAAGAUAGAGAAGUCAUACAUCGCUUAAGGGUUGAAAAUACCACUGAUAUCUAUUACGUUAUUUUUAGUUUUUGAUUGAAACUAUAUAUGGUUGUCGCUAGCUAUUUUUGAUUAGGACUUGGUAUCUUCACAUACGUUAUUAUCGUAGAGGAGAAUAAUAGUACUCUUAAGCAGGAUAUUUUUUUUUCAACUAUGUUAAAUGUCUCUUUUGGUAAUUUUAUGUAUCUACAAAGUCUUAUCUAAUUUGUAUAUAGAAAAUUUCAUAUAAGUCACAUUCUGAACAUUUUCUCCUACAUAAGUUCACCAUAACAGUUUUACUCAUAUAAGUCCACUUUUAAGGCUAAAUCUGUUAUUUUACUUUUACGAUGUACCUAAAAUGCCCUCUUCUCCUUUACACCAAUUCU